CUAUGCGCCUUGCCAGCCCGCUCAGGUGUGCCAGCAGCCGCGGUAAUACGGAGGAUGCGAGCGUUAUCCGGAUUUAUGGGUUUAAAGGGUGCGUAGCGGGAUGCCAAGUCAGCGGUAAAAAUGCGGUGCUCAACGCCGUCGAGCCGUUGAAACUGGCGUUCUUGAGUGGGCGAGAAGUAUGCGGAAUGCGUGGUGUAGCGGUGAAAUGCAUAGAUAUCACGCAGAACUCCGAUUGCGAAGGCAGCCUGCCGCAGCGUUACUGACGCUGAAGCUCGAAAGCGCGGGUAUCGAACAGG
rnacentral:rRNA from 1 species